rnacentral:rRNA from 1 species
UGUAGGCGGGAGUCUUUGUGGAGCACGGUGUCCAAGUCCCUUGGAACAGGGCGCCUGAAAGGGUGAGAGCCCCGUGGGGUGCCGUGCGAAGCUCUGAGGCCCUGCUGACGAGUCGAGUUGUUUGGGAAUGCAGCUCCCAGUGGGUGGUAAAUUCCAUCUAAGGCUAAAUACUGGCGAGAGACCGAUAGCGAACAAGUACUGUGAAGGAAAGAUGAAAAGCACUUUGAAAAGAGAGUGAAACAGCACGUGAAAUUGUUGAAAGGGAAGGGUAUUGGGCCCGACAUGGGGAGUGCGCACCGCUGUCUCUUGUAGGCGGCGCUCUGGGCGCUCUCUGGGCCAGCAUCGGUUCUUGCUGCGGGAGAAUGGGUGCCGGAAAGUGGCUCUUCGGAGUGUUAUA